AUUGAACGCUGGCGGAAUGCUUUACACAUGCAAGUCGAGCGGCAGCACGGGGGGAACCCUGGUGGCGAGCGGCGAACGGGUGAGUAAUACAUCGGAACAUGCCCAGUCGUGGGGGAUAACACUUCGAAAGAAGUGCUAAUACCGCAUACGUCCUGAGGGAGAAAGCGGGGGAUCUUCGGACCUCGCGCGAUUGGAGUGGCCGAUGUCAGUUUAGCUAGUUGGUGGGGUAAAGGCCUACCAAGGCAACGAUCUGUAGCUGGUCUGAGAGGAUGAUCCGCCACACUGGGACUGAGACACGGCCCAGACUCCUACGGGAGGCAGCAGUGGGGAAUUUUGGACAAUGGGAGCAACCCUGAUCCAGCCAUUCCGCGUGAGUGAAGAAGGCCUUCGGGUUGUAAAGCUCUUUCGGCAGGAACGAAACGGUGAGCUCUAACAUAGCUUGCUAAUGACGGUACCUGAAGAAGAAGCACCGGCUAACUACGUGCCAGCCGCCGCCGUAAGAC
rnacentral:rRNA from 1 species